AUAAAAAUAAUAGGCAGGGCUGUAAAUUAAAGAAAGAGAGAAAGAAAAAUGUGAUUAUAUAACGCAUCCUGCGGUAAUCAAUUUUACCUCCAAUAUCUGCUUUUGUUUUCAAAAUGCUAAAUAAACAAUACAUAAUGCAUCCCUCAUCAGCCAAAACCAUGAGGGCUCUGUGCUCAAAUAACAGGAAACAUAUUCAAUUUUCCUAACAGAAGACAGUUCAUUAAGCUGUGCCACAUCAAAUAAAACUUUAAUUUCUCCAGCAUCAGAGUCGCAAUGAAAGCAAUUGAGGAAGAUGAGCCAUAUGGUACUUCUAUCAGCAAACACAUAUUGCUCAUUCCCCCAAAGUUUUCUAAUUCUGCUCCCCAGACCUGUGUAAUAUAGAUAAUGUGCUCUGAGCGCAGCAACCAUGAGCUAUCUGGUGUACACUUCUAAUACUGUAUUUAAUGGGAAAUAAUGAAUCAUAAAAGCCUGCAGAAGACGGCUUUUGCUAACCUAAAUCUCAGCUGUAAUUUCAUUGUUCUGUGCCUAAGAUGCUGUUUGCCCUUUUCAAACAACAGCAGUUGAACAUAAUUAUGCUGCUGCAAACCUGGGCUGCAAAAAGAAAGGCUCCCUGCCCUCACCAAGUUUCCAUUAACUCUUGAAACCCUGUGCCUGGGGCACCCCGGACUCCCAGCGGAGAGCUGCCCGUCGGCUUCCAGGGGUCACGAGAGCCUACGUGCGCGCGUAGCCCCAUCGCCGGUGCAUAGCCACGCAAAUUAAAUUGAUUACUCUUGAAUCUGGCCCCAAAAAUGCAACAGGAGAAGCCUAUGAAAAAUUAGGAAAUCUGCUUGACAUCGGGAAAUCCGACACUUGUCUACUCUAACAUCUGUAAGUGCCAAAGCCGUAUAACGUAGUAAGAGGUGGAUUUUUUUUUUUUUUUCUUAAAAGGUAAGUCUAUUUUUCUUCUUGCCAGAUCUAAAAAUUGUGGUUGGUACCUCGAGGAAAGGGCUGCCUAAACUUUAUGGUGUUUAUGCUGCUUUUAUAAAUUCAUAAAGAUUUAUUUAAUGAUAUCGUAAGGUUAGAAGUUAAACGGUAUUGCUGCACUGUCUUUUCUGUGCCUUUCUCUCCUCUGCAUUUUAGCAAGUAAACUGCAUAUGGUACGGGAUUUGGGCUUAAUUUCUAAAGAAACCUAUAGGUAAACAGGCAUCCUUACGGAUAUGUUGGGGGAUUCAUAAAGGCAGAGGCGAGAAUAUCAAGAUAUUAUUUUGACGUGACCAACCCUGCUCAGAAAAUGUCUUUAAGUCAUCUGAAGUCAGCCUCUCACUCUCCUUCCCCCCUCCAGCCCCCAAAAUACAGGGCUAAUUUAAAACAUUGUCUAGAUAUGCUACUUCUGCAUAUUGAAACCAUGUUUUAGUGGCUGUGUUUGUUUUGGCAAUGUACGAACCCCAAACAAUUAAAUUAAUAAGAGAGACUUUUAAAAGUUAGCGAUUGCCUUUUUAAAAGCUUAUUAAAAUCAACGUGUUAGAUGGCUGUCUCUGAAUUAGCUCGGAGGCUUGAUUGCUCUCAUUAAAGCUGCCUGUUUGGGUGCUGCUUCGGGAAUGCUCACGCCUGGAUUUUUCCGCCCCCCCGCCCCGUCCCCGCGCUGCCUCUCGCUGCUCGCGGCUUCCCUGCGCGGUGCCGGACACAAACUCCAAAUUUUUGGCGGCGCACCUCGAUGCGAGCCGGCGCGACCAAAGCCGCCCACGGAGAGCCCAACAGGUAACGGGAUAACGGCGGGAGCAGCGGCAGGGAACGGCCCCGACGCCCCCAGAACGCCCGCCCCAGCAAAAGCGAGCCGAGAAAAAAUACCCCCAGCCGGCAAAAAAACAAAACAGCGCAUUGAUCAUCGCCCCUGAAUGCCUUAAAAACAAAUGUUUAAACAGGUUUUUUUGAACCGGCGCAGAAAAGCCUCUGCAUGCUCCGCUGGGUUACAAUAACAAUGGUCUAUUGCAAUGUAAAACAAGCUGGAGGAUAAAAAGGUGCUUUUUGUUACCAUUUUAUCAAAGCUGUUCAUCUUCUAGCUGCAGGCAGCAUUUUGCUGGAAUUGCAGAUAUUUCUCUGUCCAGGCUCCUUUGUUUGUGCAUCUCAUUUGCAUAUAUUUAUCUCCAGCUGAGGGUGCUUUCAGCUCAUUACGGCCUCCCCUCGCAUUAUUUCAUAAGCCAGCUGCUGGGAGGGAUUUCACCUGUGGUGACUGAGAAAAGAGGGGUGAAAAACCAAAUUCUUCAUAAAAAGGAAAUCUUCUGACUCUCUUCCCCUAUAAAUGGGCACCAUUUGUGUUAAACAGCCUCUUGUCAUGAUAGAUGCCUCCUGGGGUCAGGGGGGAAAGUUGAGCUGAAGGUCAGCAGUAAAACAACAGACAAACCAGACGCCAAACUGGUUCCUGAGCUGUCGGUGGGAGCAGCAGUACAACCAGGUCCUGAACCUUUUUCAACCUCUAAUAAAACAGGGGAAGAAUCUGAAGUGGAUCAACCAGGCCCCAGAGGAAGCCGCACGGAAAAACACAAAUAAUAUCAAUAUCGCGCAGCCAUGGGAAACAAUGGGGCAGCUCUCGGCGUGACAUGCACGCCGCUAUUGUUUCAAGAGCUGGGGAAUUAAUUCCACUUAUUUAUUUAAGGCGUGUCAGCUCGCUGCCUAAACCUGUUUCGGUGUCAAGAUGAAUAAAACUUUUAUGGCUCAUAAAAUAGAGCCAUUCAUCUCAAUGUUCUUUGUGGUGCCUGGGUGUUUUUUUCCCCUCUCCUCCUGGCAGGCUGCGCCCGGUGGCCCGGUGCUACCAGCUCACUCGUACGAGCGAAGCACUGGGCUGGCACCUGGAGCUGGGCAGGGACCACAGGGAUGAUGACAGCAGCCCCCCCCUUUUUCUGGGGGGGUCUUCCUCUGUAAGAGAAAGGAUGCCAGUGUGUGAUGCCCAUAGUCUAAGCUCAGGCACGUGGUAUAGCUAAAAGAAAUGAUAAUAGAAGUGUCCUACCAGACAAUAGCAACAGCACCGGGGUUAAAUUCCUCUCACAUCUUCUGUUUUCCAACGGGCUUCGGAAUGAGCAGCAAUAUGUGCACAUUGGAUGGGGCAUCACAGGCAGUGAAGCCCAGGCAAAACUUCUGCAUUUGAUCACAGAUGGUGAAUGUGGAUUCAUCAUCAUCCUGUGCAGAAGCCCCCUGCUCUAUCCCCGUCCUAAAACCCACAAUGAAUUUACAUCACCUAUGGAGCUUUGGACCAACAGGUAAUAAACUACAAUAAAGUGCGCUUUUUAUCAGGGAAAAAAAAAUACCAUUAAUUAUAGUUCAUGACUACUCUAAACCAAAUGUUCAAAUAGUAGUUGGAAAUGAUGCAUAAAAUCUCAGCAUGUUCUGAUAGGUUAUAGAGUCAGUGGUUUAUUGCAAUGUAAAACAAGCCACAGGAAGAGAGGGUGGUUUUGUUUACCAUUUUCAUCAAAGCUGUUCAUCAUGUUGAUAUACUUAUGCUAUAUUGUGACCCCUACGUAUGUUGCGUUUCAUUUAUUUAUUUUCCAGGUUGUUGCCACUUUUGCUGCUUUUCACAUCAGAGAAGUCAAGUAAUUCUCGGGGCCCGUUGAAAUAUGUCUCAUCUGAACCAAAUUUCUGCUUGCAAACCACCCGAUAGACAUGGACAUAAGAAAUAUUUAUUACCAUCAAGCAAGGCUUUCAAACUUUUACUUAAUCUGAGGCAAUUAGUACCUGAAUAAACACAGACUAAGUAAUCUACCUUCUCGCAACCUAAUUGCGCUUUAAAAGAGUUAUGCGGCUCUGCCCAAGGAAAGCACAGCUCUGAUUAAGAUGGUUUGGAGAUUCUCUUUCAUCCCUAUGCCUUUUGGCCCCAGAAAGCCUUCUAUUAAACCCCUCUAACUUUUAACGGAAAACCUUUUGCAAAACCCCUCCAACUUUGCAUUUCUCCCGUGCCAGACCCCGGCCGGACCCAGCCCUCUCCCCGCCAAAUCUUUAACCCCACUUCUCAUUUUUCUUGGGCUCUAAUCUAAUCACUAAUUCCUUCGCUUGGCCAAAUAGUUAAAAAUGUUAAGUGCUGGCAGUUCCUCCUGCCUCCCCCCCGUAUCUGUCUCUGUUUAUGGAACGGGCCCUGGUUUCCUCCUUCUCUUGUUCAGCUGUAGGUCUUCAGGUCAGGAGACUGUAAAUACACAUAGCGCUGCCCCAACCCAUAAAUCUGAGCAAAGGGCAGCCCUAUAUAUUCAGAUAAGCAAUGCAGAGAGGGGGAAAGAAACAAAACAAAAAAAAAAAAAACGGGGGAAAGGAGAAAAAAAGCGAGGAGAGGCGAGGGCGAGGUGGCCGCCCCGUGGUGCAGGAGGCACGUCCAUCAGGACGCUCAAAAUGCCAGCCGCUGUUCCCCCCUCCUUGUUUGUGUAUAAAUCAUUAUAAAAUGCAUUUUAUUACCUUUGGGGCAACAAAAUUAAACCCAAGAUUUCUAUAGCUUUAUAAUGUGCCUUUCUCUCCCCCAGCCCUUUGUUGGUCUAUCUCCCCCCCCCCCAUUUUAUUUCCAGCACCUCAGAAGCUUUCAAGGGAACAGUCCCCCUGUUAUUGCUUCUCAGCUCCAAGGUCUUAGAAUAAAUAACAUUGUUAUUACUCACUUCACCAAUUUCCAAGAAGAAAUAUUGCCGCAGCAAAUGCGAGCAGCACUAAUAUUUGCAAAGUGAUAAAUGGAUUGCUACAUACCUUCCUGUCUGUGUGGCCUCCAGCCAUCCCCGGGCCAGCUUCAUCUAUCCUUGGGGUGGGCGGGAGGGUGCCUUUGAACUUAGCGGGCUCCAGGCACUCAGUGCCUUGCACGGGAGCCCCCUCCCUCGCCCUCGGAUGGUGAGAGAAUUUCAAACGUUGAGACCAAGCCAGAGGACGCGAUCGCACCAGGAGUGGGCAGUGGGAGAUGUGGUACCAGCACAAAGCAGCCGAGGAGAGAUGCUGGUGGCUGCGCCACCCAUUUGGAGGCUUUAGGUGGCUGAGGGUUCAGUGGUGUGGAAACCAGAACACGUAUUCCCAACCAUCGCCACCCUCCUGGUUUGUUAAAUCUCAUUAAACUCACAGGGAACUUCCAUGACCGAAGCUGAGGUUGGGACAUCGCGAUGUGGUAAGUGGUCUGCUGGCUCCUCACCCUGAGCCUGGGGCUCGCCACGGCCUUCCUGGGCUCUAAAAGGUGGCAAUCGGGGGAUCCACAUUGAAUAACAGUAAUUUUAAAAGACGUGUGUAUGUGUACAGUUUUUUAAAUAAGAGUUCUCAGAUUAGAUGUGGACUCCUCUAUUUCAUUGAAAACAAAAUCUCCAAAUCAAAUUAUUCGUGGGGUGUGAGCCAUGCUGAAAAAGCACUCUGAAUAUGUGGUAAUUAAAGACAAAGCACAACCUUUUGCUUCAGACCCACAAGGGCUAUUCCAGCAAAGCAAGCCAAAUCACCACCAGCACUAGGCCAUUAAGAAAACCCUUUUUUGCUCUCCCCCGAAGAGGCUGGUUCAGCCACUAAGCCCUUACUGGCUCCGUGCAACCUGCUUACAUUUUCUUGACUGAGCCUGCUGCAUUUCCAGGCUGUGGUCCAUGGGUUUGGGGCUGGGAGGUUGCUGCCAGCUAUUGUUUGGUUGUUUGGCUUGAGCUCCUUGGCCGGGGCAAGUGCCUCCACUUGAGGUUAUCCAGGCACCAGAGGUGACGUAGAAGCUUGGUCUUCUUGUGCAGAGCAAAAUUCAGCUUCUCCGGAGCAUCAUCCCCAUCCCCUAGUGCUUGUGUCGCAUCCUCUGUGCAGCUGAGGCACCACCAGAAGAAGGGCCCAGAGCAUCCUCCUUCACACCACCCUCUCUGGGCUUGUCUCCCCGUUCAGCCCGGAGAAUUAGCUAAGCCCAUGCUUUUCUUCCUAGAAGGCUGGCAGAAGCCUUGGGAAACAGUCAUCAGCACGAGGAGGUUUCAUGUGGAGGUCAAACAGCAUCCUUGGCAUUGGCCAUAUGUGUAUAUGUAGAGGUACAUUUAUCCAUAAAAUAAAGAGAUAACUCAAGGAUCAUGGAAAGAAAUCCACCUGGAAAAUGUGGGCAGAGGUACGAAAGGAUCAACCAGAAGAGAUGCCAAAAAUGUAUCUGGCAGUUUUCCUCUUGACCCAGGUUCAGUGGAUGUUGCACUUGAGCCCACGUCUACUGGGACAAAAUUCUUCUCUGAAAGAGACGCUCUGAAGAAUGCCAUGUCCUACUUGUCCACAUCCAUAGGAUGCUGGAAACACCUCCACAGCCUUAUAUCUAUUAUAUUCCUCUGUUUUUCCUCUAUGACCUUAUCCAAGCCUAAUAUUUUUCUCCAGACUUGCAAUGACAGACAUUCCUAAUACAUUUCUGUUGCAUUAAUAGUAAUACAUACAAUAAAACCUCUUCUACAGUUGCAAUAGUUCCUUUAUAGCUGUAAGGCUAUUAACUAACAUCUUUGUUACUGAGAUACUGAAUACUUUUUCUUACAGAUAUUUAUGUUCCUGGGUUUGAAGUCCCAUUGGGAAGCCCUCCUUCACCCUCCCAGGGAAAAGCAGAGGGCUCAAAUUCCGGUCAGUUCUGCCUGUUCUGCCUGCUUGGUGUUUUAAUAGAAGCACAAGGUCCAGCCAAAUUUAGAUUUGUUUGUUUGUUUGUUUGUCUGUUUGCAUUAGUAGCAAUUAAACCAUCGCCAUGGUUUAUGUUGCCUGCGUACAGUGAGUGUCUCUCCCCUGGAGCAGCCACGUUCCCCAGGCAGGGUCAGAGGCUGCCCCCCAUAUGCCUCCUCCCCACAGAAAUUUGGGAAGAGCACAUUCACUGGAAGCAGUCACUCGUUGAAGAGGUCACACUAAAACCAGAUGCAAACAGGCCAUGGCCUUCACACAAGGACUGCAUCAGACUCACAGAAGGGUAGUUUUUCCUGUUUAUUCUCAAAAUCCCAAGUUUUUCCAAGCCUGCGAGUGGCUCUCACGAGAAGCAUCUUUGACAGCAGCAUCCAUUGCUCCAUAUACACUGGUUUGGGGACCUUUAUUUCCAUACAUGCCCGAGUCCCCUGCCUUCGCUGGUGCUGGUUAUCCUGAAACAUUAACAUGGGUUUUGCCCGUUGCUCCCCACGGUGGCUGGGCUGCCCAGAGUCCUGCGGCGCAGAAGGGCUGCAGGAUGGGGUGAAGGGCAGGCACACACUUGUGCCUAGCGAUCAGCCCCAUCCCCUGUGAUUCCCCUUGGGAGCAGAUGGAUAUUCUUUUUCCUUCCCAAACAGAGAUUUGGGACCUAGAAGCUGGCCAAACACAAAGUUUUGCAGUUUUAAAUGUGUAACUCAUCUUAAAGUUUCUUCUCAUUAACAACAUCCACAUAAGAUCCUUCCCCCACAUCUUUCUUCCAAUUCUGUUACUAUUUUACUAAUUACAAACACUGUACAAGAACUAGUAUUGAGCUAUAGAAAUGAAAGGUCAAUACAUGAACAACACUUCAUUUGUAAACAAUAUGGCUCUGCAAUCAAUUACCUCGUUUUCACAGAAGACAUAUUAAUCUAAAAGCAAAGGAUGGAGACAUUUGGAUGAUGUGCAGAGGGGAUCUUUAAAUGUUAAAUGUUCUUUAGCAUGUGCUAAAUAAAGGCUUUAGCAGAGUGAAAAUGCAGCGCAUAGCACUGACACUCCAGGGAGAUUCCUUAGGUCAAGUGAUUUGUACCUUCAGAA